ensembl:lncRNA novel transcript, antisense to SLC6A11
AGGCAUGAACUUGGCUUCUGCUAGCAGCUGCUCUGACAGGUUUAGGGCUGUUUGAUGAAGUGUGCAUCCCUUAUUUGCAUGCAUUUGGAAGAGGAGGAGGAAGAAGAAAAGAGGAGAAGGCAAAGGAGAGCCUGGGAUGGGUCCUGGAUCAUGGAGCGGGUGAGAACCUGUACUGGGAUCGUCAGUCCCCUUGUUGGUGAGCCUGGAGCUCGUGCGUCUGCCUCCCUGCUGGAUUGAGGGCCCCACACGCAGCGAGAUGCUCAAUAGACAUGUGAUCCUUCCCGUCCCCCAGCAGCAGCUUUGUGGGAACUGAGGCUCGGGUUGUGGACUACCUGGCACAAGGACUCUCGGGGAUUUGCUUUCUUCUGCUGAUGGGAGAGAUGGAAUAAAACCUGCCUGCUGGAGGGGGAAGCAGAAGGGACCCAUGGCUGACAGCAUACAUCCUCCACGCACUCAGUGGGGAAUGAAGCUGCCACUGCCCCAAGACACAGGCUGGAGACAAGGCAGUUUUGGCCAAACCCUCUUCAACUCCAGUAGCUGGGAAAGAGCUGGCCACCCCUGGUAGUGAGGAAUGGGGUGCAAGAGCCAGGAAGACUCAGGUGAAAAGCCACGCUCCAUCUGUGGCAAUGUGAACAGGAGUAAGGGACUCGAGCUCCACGGGCCACCAUCUCCUUGCUUAUGUAAUGGGGUGGUUUCUUUCUGACUGCCCUGCAUGGAAGCCAGCACUAAACUAAGUACAAGAGAUGCAGCAGACAACAAGAACAUCCAGCCCACGUCCUCAUGGUGCUGACAGCCUAGCUGGAGGGGACAGUGACCAAGUGAUCUCUGAAGGGCCCAGCACAGAGGUCCCCAUGCUGACCGUAAGCCACCGAUGGGGUGAUACUGUACACAGACAGUGUACAUUUGAAAGAACUCCCAAGGGGGUCAGACUUGGCCCAGCCCGGAAGCCUGCAUGUGCUGUUCUUCCUAUCUGGGUGCCUCUCUCUCUCUUCCUGUCCAUGGUUAACAUUUUCAUUAUGGCUGACAAAGAGCUUUACUUCUCAUCCCCCAUGCCCACAUCCUCCACAAAACUAGAUGCCUUCUUCUGGACAGCCUGCUCUGUCUGUCUUUAGCAUCUCAUUGUCAUCCGGUCACCCAAAUACCUCUCACCCAAAGAACCCCAGAAGCAGAACUCACGGCGGCCUGAUGGCACACUGGAUUCUACAAUAGCUUCUCUUUUCAGCAUGUUGGACCUGCCCACAUUAACUUCCCCAUUGUCUUGAUUUCCCCAAGUUACAAACUCUAUAGGCUGUGCCACUGCUGUCUGCAGCUCCCAUGGCACCGAUUCCAGGGCCUCGCACUUAGUAGACACACAGUAAACACUGCCGACUUAACAAGUGAGUUCAUAAUGUGACCGCUAAGCUAGCUCUCGGAAAGGAUGUAGUGGGGAGGCCAGAAUGGACACUGAGAGACCCCAGUCAGAGUCAAGGCCCUGCCACAUCUAGCAAGGUACCACCUCCACCAGCUUCACUUUCCCUGUCUCAAAGA